GACGAACGCUGGCGGCGUGCUUAACACAUGCAAGUCGAACGGAAAGGCCCUGCUUUUGUGGGGUGCUCGAGUGGCGAACGGGUGAGUAACACGUGAGUAACCUGCCCUUGACUUUGGGAUAACUUCAGGAAACUGGGGCUAAUACCGGAUAGGAGCUCCUGCUGCAUGGUGGGGGUUGGAAAGUUUCGGCGGUUGGGGAUGGACUCGCGGCUUAUCAGCUUGUUGGUGGGGUAGUGGCUUACCAAGGCUUUGACGGGUAGCCGGCCUGAGAGGGUGACCGGCCACAUUGGGACUGAGAUACGGCCCAGACUCCUACGGGAGGCAGCAGUGGGGAAUAUUGCACAAUGGGCGGAAGCCUGAUGCAGCAACGCCGCGUGCGGGAUGACGGCCUUCGGGUUGUAAACCGCUUUCGCCUGUGACGAAGCGUGAGUGACGGUAAUGGGUAAAGAAGCACCGGCUAACUACGUGCCAGCAGCCGCGGUGAUACGUAGGGUGCGAGCGUUGUCCGGAUUUAUUGGGCGUAAAGGGCUCGUAGGUGGUUGAUCGCGUCGGAAGUGUAAUCUUGGGGCUUAACCCUGAGCGUGCUUUCGAUACGGGUUGACUUGAGGAAGGUAGGGGAGAAUGGAAUUCCUGGUGGAGCGGUGGAAUGCGCAGAUAUCAGGAGGAACACCAGUGGCGAAGGCGGUUCUCUGGGCCUUUCCUGACGCUGAGGAGCGAAAGCGUGGGGAGCGAACAGGCUUAGAUACCCUGGUAGUCCACGCUGUAAACGGUGGGUACUAGGUGUGGGGUCCAUUCCACGGGUUCCGUGCCGUAGCUAACGCUUUAAGUACCCCGCCUGGGGAGUACGGCCGCAAGGCUAAAACUCAAAGGAAUUGACGGGGCCCCGCACAAGCGGCGGAGCAUGCGGAUUAAUUCGAUGCAACGCGUAGAACCUUACCUGGGUUUGACAUGGAUCGGGAGCGCUCAGAGAUGGGUGUGCCUCUUUUGGGGUCGGUUCACAGGUGGUGCAUGGCUGUCGUCAGCUCGUGUCGUGAGAUGUUGGGUUAAGCCCCGCAACGAGCGCAACCCUUGUUCACUGUUGCCAGCACGUUAUGGUGGGGACUCAGUGGAGACCGCCGGGGUCAACUCGGAGGAAGGUGGGGAUGACGUCAAGUCAUCAUGCCCCUUAUGUCCAGGGCUUCACGCAUGCUACAAUGGCUGGUACAGAGAGUGGCGAGCCUGUGAGGGUGAGCGAAUCUCGGAAAGCCGGUCUCAGUUCGGAUUGGGGUCUGCAACUCGACCUCAUGAAGUCGGAGCCGCUAGUAAUCGCAGAUCAGCAACGCUGCGGUGAAUACGUUCCCGGGGCU
rnacentral:rRNA from 1 species